GAUAAGCUUGGCUCUGACUUAUAUGUACAAUAAAGAUAAAGAAAUACACAUGGCACUUUUUUGGAGAGGUGAGGAUAAAUGGUGAAGAAAUCAAAGUAUAAGACUUUGUAUAUUCUGUGCCCCUAUUAGUAUUAUAAAUUUGCAUGAUGCUUUGUUAUGUCCCACUAACACCAGUGACUAAUAUUAAAUCUAAAGGCGAAAGCUUGACUUAGGCUAGUCUUAGUAGGUCUGGUCAACUUGGUGCCAGCAUCCGCGGUUAUACCAAGAAGACCGAGUUGUACUUUAUAUGGUAAAAAGACAGUUAGGCGUUCAAGAACACGAGCUACUAAAUUUUCUGUUUAAGGGUGCAAUCUGAAUUCAGAAAAAAGUUUUAUAAGUAACUCGGAAGCUGAAUCUGUGAAAAUCUAGAGGGAAACUAGGAUUAGAUACCCUAUUAUUCUUGAUAGUAAACUGAUUAACUACUUAUUCUACCAGAGUACUACGAAAUAUAAUAAAAUUUAAAACUCAAAGGGCUUGGCGGUGCUUUAGACCACUUAGGGGAACCUGUCUCGUAAUCGACAAUCCACGCAACACCUUACCUUAACUUGCUUUCAGUAUGUAUACCGUCGUCGGCAGGUAACUUUUAAGAAAUGAGAAGUUAGCAAAGUAAGAAAUCUUAUACAAUCUUACCUAUCACGUCAGAUCAUGGUGCAGCUUAUGUUGAGGAGAGGAUGGGUUACAAUUAAAAUUUAUAAUUAUGGAUAAGAACAAGAACUUCUUCUUGGAAAGAGGACUUAAAAGUAAAUAUAAAUAGAUAAAUUUAUUGAAUAUGGCUCUGAAGCGUGCACACAUCGCCCGUCGCUCUCGUUGAAAAAUGAGAUAAGUCGUAACAUAGUAGGAGUAAUGGAAAUUGCUCCUUGCUGAAG
rnacentral:ncRNA from 1 species